rnacentral:rRNA from 1 species
UACGUAGGGGGCUAGCGUUGUCCGGAAUCAUUGGGCGUAAAGAGCGCGUAGGCGGCCAGAUAAGUCCGGUGUGAAAGUCACAGGCUCAACCUGUGAAUGCCGCUGGAAACUGUAUGGCUAGAGUCCGGAAGGGGCGAGUGGAAUUCCUGGUGUAGCGGUGAAAUGCGCAGAUAUCAGAGGAACACCGGUGGCGAAGGCGGGUCUCUGGGCAGUAACUGACGCUGAGGAGCGAAAGCGUGGGGAGCGAACAGG